GACGAACGCUGGCGGCGUGCUUAACACAUGCAAGUCGAGCGGUAAGGCCUUUCGGGGUACACGAGCGGCGAACGGGUGAGUAACACGUGGGUGUUCUGCCCUGCACUUCGGGAUAAGCCUGGGAAACUGGGUCUAAUACCGGAUAUGACCUCCUAUCGCAUGGUGGGUGGUGGAAAGAUUUAUCGGUGCAGGAUGGGCCCGCGGCCUAUCAGCUUGUUGGUGGGGUAAUGGCCUACCAAGGCGACGACGGGUAGCCGACCUGAGAGGGUGACCGGCCACACUGGGACUGAGACACGGCCCAGACUCCUACGGGAGGCAGCAGUGGGGAAUAUUGCACAAUGGGCGAAAGCCUGAUGCAGCGACGCCGCGUGAGGGAUGACGGCCUUCGGGUUGUAAACCUCUUUCAGCAGGGACGAAGCGCAAGUGACGGUACCUGCAGAAGAAGCACCGGCUAACUACGUG
rnacentral:rRNA from 1 species